rnacentral:rRNA from 1 species
UGCUUACACAUGCAGUCGAACGAUGAACCUCACUUGUGGGGGGAUUAGUGGCGAACGGGUGAGUAACACGUGAGUAACCUGCCCUUAACUCUGGGAUAAGCCUGGGAAACUGGGUCUAAUACCGGAUAUGACUCCUCAUCGCAUGGUGGGGGGUGGAAAGCUUUUUGUGGUUUUGGAUGGACUCGCGGCCUAUCAGCUUGUUGGUGAGGUAAUGGCUCACCAAGGCGACGACGGGUAGCCGGCCUGAGAGGGUGACCGGCCACACUGGGACUGAGACACGGCCCAGACUCCUACGGGAGGCAGCAGUGGGGAAUAUUGCACAAUGGGCGAAAGCCUGAUGCAGCGACGCCGCGUGAGGGAUGACGGCCUUCGGGUUGUAAACCUCUUUCAGUAGGGAAGAAGCGAAAGUGACGGUACCUGCAGAAGAAGCGCCGGCUAACUACGUGCCAGCAGCCGCGGUAAUACGUAGGGCGCAAGCGUUAUCCGGAAUUAUUGGGCGUAAAGAGCUCGUAGGCGGUUUGUCGCGUCUGCCGUGAAAGUCCGGGGCUCAACUCCGGAUCUGCGGUGGGUACGGGCAGACUAGAGUGAUGUAGGGGAGACUGGAAUUCCUGGUGUAGCGGUGAAAUGCGCAGAUAUCAGGAGGAACACCGAUGGCGAAGGCAGGUCUCUGGGCAUUAACUGACGCUGAAGAGCGAAAGCAUGGGGAGCGAACAGGAUUAGAUACCCUGGUAGUCCAUGCCGUAAACGUUGGGCACUAGGUGUGGGGGACAUUCCACGUUUUCCGCGCCGUAGCUAACGCAUUAAGUGCCCCGCCUGGGGAGUACGGCCGCAAGGCUAAAACUCAAAGGAA